UAAAAAGCAGUGACCUGUUGCCAUUUGUGAAUAGGCCUCUCGUUAACUUCAGGUAUAUAAGUUGUGCAAUGUUAUUGGGUGAACCACUUGAUAUUUCUAUGAUUUGAUGGUUCAGUAAACAAUGCUACAUAU